rnacentral:rRNA from 1 species
UACGUAGGGUGCGAGCGUUAAUCGGAAUUACUGGGCGUAAAGCGUGCGCAGGCGGUUCGUUAAGUCAGAUGUGAAAGCCCCGGGCUCAACCUGGGAACUGCAUUUGAAACUGGCGGGCUUGAGUAUGGCAGAGGGGGGUGGAAUUCCGCGUGUAGCAGUGAAAUGCGUAGAGAUGCGGAGGAACACCAGUGGCGAAGGCGGCUUUCUGGUCUGUAACUGACGCUGAGGCGCGAAAGCGUGGGGAGCAAACAGG